rnacentral:rRNA from 1 species
AACAAGGUUUCCGUAGGUGAACCUGCGGAAGGAUCAUUAUUGAAAUAAACCUGAUGAGUUGCUGCUGGCUCUCUAGGGAGCAUGUGCACACUUGUCAUCUUUAUAUCUCCACCUGUGCACCUUUUGUAGACCUGGAUAUCUCUCUGAGUGCUUAGCACUUCAGGUUUGAGGAUUGACUUUAUUGUUCUCUCUUUAUAUUUCCAGGCCUAUGUUUCUUCAUAUACCCCAUUGUAUGUUAUAGAAUGUAGUAAAUAGGCCUUUGUGCCUAUAAAUAUACAACUUUCAGCAACGGAUCUCUUGGCUCUCGCAUCGAUGAAGAACGCAGCGAAAUGCGUUAAGUAAUGUGAAUUGCAGAAUUCAGUGAAUCAUCGAAUCUUUGAACGCACCUUGCGCUCCUUGGUAUUCCGAGGAGCAUGCCUGUUUGAGUGUCAUUAAUAUAUCAACCUCUUCAACUUUGUUGAGUGUUGGAUGUGGGGGUUUUUUUUGCUGGCCUCUCUCUCUGAGUUCAGCUCCCCUGAAAUACAUUAGCGGAACAAUUUGUUCAUUUGGCGUGAUAAUUAUCUAUGCUAUUGACAUGAAGCAGUUCAGCUUAUAACUGUCCAUUGACUUUGGACAAUUUUAUUAUUAAUGUGACCUCAAAUCAGGUAGGACUACC